rnacentral:rRNA from 1 species
GAGACAGCAGUCGCCACGGGAAUACGGAGGGCGCGAGCGUUACCCGGAUUUACUGGGCGUAAAGGGCGUGUAGGCGGCCUGGGGCGUCCCAUGUGAAAGGCCACGGCUCAACCGUGGAGGAGCGUGGGAUACGCUCAGGCUAGAGGGUGGGAGAGGGUGGUGGAAUUCCCGGAGUAGCGGUGAAAUGCGCAGAUACCGGGAGGAACGCCGAUGGCGAAGGCAGCCACCUGGACCACUUCUGACGCUGAGGCGCGAAAGCGUGGGGAGCAAACCGGAUUAGAUACCCCUGUAGUCCCUGUCUCUUAUAC